GUUAGCAAUGGGUUUAGUUCUGAGUUUUUGAAUUCUGCUUCGAAGCUCUUGCAGAAAGGAGCUUCAUGAAAUAUAAAAUUCAGUUCACUUACAAGUGAGGACUUUGAUUGUGGAAGUUGUUAUCUGUCAUACCAAAACUGGUAUGUAUAGUUGAUCACUCAUCUCUUGCUGUAAUCAUCCAUGUCCUUUUAUUUCAUUUUAUUUUUAAUUUUUAAUUUUAUUUAUUUAUUUUUCCAUUACUUGCAAGUGCAUUUUGGAAAGGAGCUUCAUGAAAUAUAAAAUUCAGUUCACUUACAAGUGAGGAUUUUGAUUAUGAUAGUUGUUAUCUGUCAUACAAAAAAUGUCCAGUCCCACUAAUCUCCUUGCAUGGCUUGAACACUUUGUGGGCUUGCGCCUAAAGCCUGAACUUUGGUGGUGCUUCUUAACGUUCAAGUUGUUAGCAAUUCAUGUUUCCCAAA